UUCCCCUAGCUGUGAAUCUUAUUGCCACCAGAUGUUAUGGAAGCUGAAAGUUUAGCCAGAUUCAAAGAGCAUUGGACAAAUUCUUGGAGGAAAGUAGCAUCAGUAGUUAUUGAGCAUGGGAGUUAGGGAUGCAGCCUUUGAAUCAAAACUUCUUAGACUUUAAAUGC